rnacentral:tRNA from 3 species
GCCACCGUAGCUCAGCUGGUAGAGCAACUGAUUCGUAAUCAGUAGGUCCGCGGUUCGAUCCCGCGCGGUGGCU